GAAAAGGAUGUUAGCAUUAUAUUUAUUGACAAAACAUAAAAGAUGGAGGAAAAGUAGAAGAAAAGCAUCUCAAAUAUAUAUUAAAAGAAAUUACUCUAUGAUAUGUCCUUUUCACAAUUAUAGUUCAAGGAUAUCCAAAUUAUAUGUUGCAUGCAGUUAAAUCAAGCAAUUUGGAAUGCUGCCAAAAAUAUUUACUUGCCAAAGCCUUCAAAAGAUUGGGAAAAAAUUUCCCAGGAGUUCCUGAUCUAUUCAGGGUUCCCCAAUUGUAUUGGUGCCUUGGAUGGGAAACAUAUCUGUAUAAAAUGAUUUCAAUUUUUUUGUUACAAACAUAUAUUCACAAUAGUUUUGUGCCUUAACAGACAUAAAUAGAAAAUUUGUUACAUAAUAUAAUAAUAAGCAAUGAAGGAAUAGGUGCUGAUGUUGAUGGCACAGAUACAAUGCCGAAUAUGACCACUAGAUUGAAUCAAUAAUUUUAAGAGACAAAUUUCAGGCUUAAUUAUUUUUUU